GAUGAACGCUAGCGGCGUGCCUAACACAUGCAAGUCGAACGUGAGAGGGUACUUGUAUCCUUGAAAGUGGCGGACGGGUGAGUAAGACGUAGGUGACCUGCCUUGAAGUGGGGGAUAACCAUUGGAAACGAUGGCUAAUACCGCAUAAGCUGGUGAUGAUGGGAAUCGUUAUCAGGAAAGCUUUAGUGCUUUGAGAGGGGCCUACGGCCGAUUAGCUAGUUGGUGAGGUAAAGGCUCACCAAGGCGAUGAUCGGUAGCUGGUCUGAGAGGACGAUCAGCCACACGGGAACUGAGACACGGUCCCGACUCCUACGGGGGGCAGCAGUGAGGAAUAUUCGGCAAUGGGGGCAACCCUGACCGAGCAACGCCGCGUGGAGGAUGACGGUUUUCGGAUUGUAAACUCCUUUUGCGGGGACGAUUGUGACUGUACCCCGCGAAUCAGGCUCGGCUAACUCUGUGCCAGCAGCCGCGGUAAGGCGUAUGUGU
rnacentral:rRNA from 1 species